AUUGAACGCUGGCGGUAUGCUUAAGACAUGCAAGUCGAACGGUAACAGACCUUCGGGUGCUGACGAGUGGCGGACGGGUGAGUAACACGUGGGAAUCUACCUUGUAGUGGGGGAUAAGCCAGGGAAACUUGGACUAAUACCGCAUACGCCCUAAGGGGGAAAGGAGCAAUUCGCUAUAAGAUGAGCCCGCGUCUGAUUAGCUAGUUGGUGAGGUAAAGGCUCACCAAGGCGACGAUCAGUAGCUGGUCUGAGAGGAUGACCAGCCACAUUGGGACUGAGACACGGCCCAGACUCCUACGGGAGGCAGCAGUCGGGAAUAUUGGACAAUGGGGGCAACCCUGAUCCAGCAAUACCGCGUGUGUGAAGAAGGCCUGCGGGUUGUAAAGCACUUUUAGUAGGGAAGAUAAUGACGUUACCUACAGAAAAAGACACCGGCUAACUCCGUGCCAGCAGCCGCGGUAAAGUGACGCU
rnacentral:rRNA from 1 species